rnacentral:lncRNA from 1 species
UUUCUUGAUCAGUUCUCAAGUGUGGUUAUCAUGAAGAGACUUCAUUUCAUCAUCAAUAGCCUUCAGCCAUUCAGUCUUAUUUCGACCCCUCAUAACUUCCUUAUAGUCUCUAGGUUCUUCAUCUAGAACCUCACUUGCAGAGAUUAAGGCUUAAGUUAUGAGAUAUGCAUUGUAAAGUCUUUGAGGUAGCUUGAUGACUCUUCUUGGCCUAUCUCUUGCUAACAAGUAGUCAUUGAUGGUUUCCUCAAUUUCC